GUCAAAACUUCACCUUCUUUGACGCAGCAUCAAAAGCCUCAAUCAAGACAAUUUAUCAGGAUCAUCACAUCGUGCUCAAAGCAACAAUGAAGAUGGCAGGAAUCCUCUGGAUGUCCGUCAGCGUUCUGCUUCUCGCAAGCUGCACCGGUAUCACCGAGAAUAAGCUUGCUUAUUUGGUAAAUAAGAUUUCGAAAAAAUACCACGCAGGCAAAAUGUUCAGCAUUGCUGCAAGCAUCCCAAAAACCCAGAACGGAUACGAUGUCGACCAAAUCCUACAGGCUGAGAAACCUGAGACGGUGAACGAAACAAUAUGGAGUGGGAAAGUGUAUGCACACGGCAGGAUUGUUGCUGCAACAUUUAUCAAAAAGCCAAAAAGCGAUGGAAAUAUACAUGCAGAGUAUCGAGUUCUACAAAACCUUGACAACUUAAAUAAUCAAGAAUUCGAUCUUAAAAAUGAUCUGAUGCUUUUUUAUGUUCUAUCAGCUCCUUGUGUCGAUAGGUGUACACGUGAAAACAAACCAGAAAACAUCCUGAAGCUCUUAGAACACUUGAAAAAAUGGGACAAUUAUCGUUUUGUAUUCUCACAUUUGUAUAUACCCAAGUAUCUAGAGAGUACUUCAAAGGAUUCUAAAGACGAGAAGUCUAAAGAGGAUAGAAAAAAUGGAAUUAAGAUACUUGGAAAAAUACUGUGUCUUGAGAAUGUGUUUCGAUGCCGUAAAAUAGGGAGAGAAAUGCAGUGUAGAACCUGUAAGGACCAGAACAAACAGGUUGCAGACGUUUGUUUUUCUGACCCCACCUCUCCGCAGUCUAAUGAUGAAAACUCUGUGGCUCCAGCUCCAGUUGUUACAAACGCUUUAAUACAGCGCGGUAGGGGAGGUACAGGGAUGGUUGGAGGAA